UGUAGUUUUAGUUUAGUUUCAGAUUAGAGGUAGCGGUGGCUGUAGUUUUAGUUUAGUUUCAGAUUAGAGGUCGCGGUGGCUGUACUUUUAGUUUAGUUUCAGAUUAAAGGUUGCUGUAGUUUUAGUUUAGUUUCAGAUUAGAGGUUGCAGUCACUGUAGACUGAGUUUAGUUUCAGAUUAGAGGUUGCAGUCACUGUAGAUUGAGUUUAGUUUCAGAUUAAAGGUUGCAGUCACUGUAGACUGAGUUUAGUUUCAGAUUAGAGGUCGCUGUAGUUUUAGUUUAGUUCCAGAUUAGAGGUUGCAGUCACUGUAGAUUGAGUUUAGU